rnacentral:lncRNA from 1 species
UGAAUGUUGGAGAUGGAAGACCAGUUCCAGUUCUAGCUUUAGAAAUUCUUAAACUUGAAUUCAGCUCUCAUGUAAAUAUCCUUAGUGAUUGUCACUAUUGUCCAAGUUUGCUAUUGAAUAUCAUUUCUGUAGGCCUUUUGGCCAAAAAGGGUUAUGAAAUAUCAAUAAAAAAGGAUUAUUGCAAUGUCAUUUGGAAUGGUGUUGUUGUAAUGAAUGGAAUUCUGAGUAAUGGCAUUUACAUUUUGUCACAGCCUGUUCAUAUAAUGUAUAAAUCCAAUAAGCGCUAUAGAAUAGAUAAUAUCACGGAUGUCUACCUUUGGCAUCAUAG